UACAGAGGUGGCAAGCGUUGUUCGGAAUUACUGGGCAUAAAGGGCGCGUAGGCGGCCAUCUAAGUCAGACGUGAAAUCCCCCGGCUUAACCUGGGAACUGCGUCUGAUACUGGACGGCUCGAGUAUGGGAGAGGGAUGUAGAAUUCCAGGUGUAGCGGUGAAAUGCGUAGAUAUCUGGAGGAAUACCGGUGGCGAAGGCGGCAUCCUGGACCAUUUACUGACGCUGAGGCGCGAAAGCUAGGGGAGCAAACGGG
rnacentral:rRNA from 1 species